UUUGCUUAUUAAAGUCACAUAAGAGGUUAUAUAUAUUAUGUAACCUUCAGGAAUUAGUAAUGAUUGUUUUAAUAUUUUGGAUAAACAUGUAUUAUGGAAAUUGUGUUACGUUUAAUAUAUAUUUUUUUCAACUCGCAAGUCUAGUAACAGAAUUAUGUCUUCACUUAAGGGCCCCACACACGAUCAAUUUUUUGGUCAAUUAAUUGAUAUCAAUUUAUUGACGUCAAUGAAUUGAUGGAAAUCACUGUGCUCACACACGGUCAAUAAUUUUACUUCAAUUUUCAGUUUGGUUCAUAAUUUCGAGAUGAAAGCAUCUGUGGCUCUAGGAAUAGUGCUUGCUCUGGGACACUCCAAAGCGAAAGAAGAGGAAACUUAGGAUGGCACAGAGACUUGGCAGGCUGAAGCGUGAGUGCCAGCAGCUGCGAGAUUCACCGCCCUCGGGAGUGUCAUGUUGGCCAGAGGGUGACAGUCUUGAAACCUUUAGUGCAGUUAUUAUUGGUGAUGAUGAUACUGUAUAUGCUGGAGGAGUUUUCAAAUUAGAGCUGGAAGUUCCAGAAAGGUAAUGACUUUGGUA